rnacentral:rRNA from 1 species
AAGCUCGUAGUUGGAUUUCUGGUUCGGCGUUCCUGGUCCUCGGCCACUAGAUGGCCGUGAGUACCGGUUGUGACGCUAGCCAUCCUUCGGGAGAGCGCGCGGUGCUUAACGGCGCUGCGCGCCAUCUCGAUCCUUUACUUUGAACAAAUUAGAGUGUUUAAAGCAGGCUAAUGCCUUGAAUACCUUAGCAUGGAAUAAUAAGAUAGGACUUUUGGCCUAUUUUGUUGGUCUUUAGGACAAGAGUAAUGAUUGAUAGGGACAGUUGGGGGUGCUAGUAUUGAAUGGCCAGAGGUGAAAUUCUUGGAUUCAUUCAAGACUAACUAAUGCGAAAGCAUUCACCAAGGAUGUCUUCUUUAAUCAAGAACGAAAGUUGGGGGAUCGAAGACGAUCAGAUACCGUCGUAGUCUCAACCAUAAACUAUACCGACUAGGGAUGAGUGGACGUUGUUUUUUACUGACUCCAUUCGCACCUUAUGAGAAAUCAAAGUCUUUGG